UGUGAGAGUCAUGAGCCGAGGGCCAUCGCUGUGAUAGUGUGAGCCAGGGUAAGCUUGGUGCUACUUCUUUUCUUUUGUUUGUUAUUUUCUUUGAAUAAGCGGAUUGAGAGUUUCUGAAUAUUGUGAAGUGAAUUAUGGAAUGGAAAUAUGAUUGGUAUUAUUUGAGAAGAAGAAAGAUUGAAUGCUAAAAUCUGAUUAUAGUUCAGUAGAGAGAAUGAGUUUGUGUUUGUGUGAAACACUGUAAUGUGAAUGGCAGUUUUGUGUGAAGAAUUCCAUUGAUUAGAAUGAGGGUAAUUGUGUACUGAAAGCUAUCACGGCACAGUAUUACAAUUAGAGAUUAUGAGGGUGAAUAUAUUGGUGGAAAUAGAAGUUAUUGGUAUGACUGAAUUGCUGUAAGGAAGAGACCGAUAAGAUGAAGGAGGAUAUUAUAGUUUUCUUAUAUGUUAAGAUAUUGGAAAUAGAGAUGAUAC
rnacentral:lncRNA from 1 species